UUAGCGGGCAAACCCAUUAAUUAAGCAUACAUAUUCUCAAUUCACUUGCAGAGAAUUAAGCAUACAUAUUCGGCUGAUUCAAUCCGAAUCUUCCCGUCAUUCCAAAUCUUCAAUUUUUUCCUAUCAAAUCCAAAUCCUUGCACAGAAUUAAGCCUCCCACUAUUCACUUGUGCAAACCCAAUCCACGACUCUACGAUCAUUUAGCACGAUUCUGUGCAAACUCACUCCAAGCACCCCAAUCCUUAGGUUCUUUAGCACGAUUCUGUGUGAACCCUUGCAUCCCCGAUUCUUCGCUGUGGCUUGCUCCAAGAACCCCUCUAGCAGCAUCUCCACCGUCUCCUGAUCUGACUCAGCCAGCUUCCUCGGCACCCAAAAGAGGCAGUUCGGACUCCUCCUGAUUCUUCUCAACGUCAAUCCGGAAGAGAACUCCAACCGCCUAAGCUCUCCGGGCUUCUCUGUCUCUGCGGCAACGUCGUUGUCGCUGGCUCGGCACCAUGGUUCCUUAUAGUUUUCGGGCAUACUGGUCAAUACCAAAUCCAAAUUCAUAGCUCUUCAAUUUGGGAAGUCAUCUUCUACAUUGGUCGAAGAUUCAGAUCCAGGUCUCCUUUGGCGGUACUAUUCAUUCGACUCUAAUUCUCAACAUGUUAUUGAGUUGACUCUAACAAUUUUCUAUCAAUUGCACUAUGGUAGUUAAUUAACUUGUUAGGACCACUGCAAAUUGGCUCUAUAUUGAAGUUUACAGACAUGAAGUUAUAUAUUGCCUGGGCCCAUACUUGGACCAAAUAACAUUUGAUAAUAGAAGUACUUGCGGCUAACUUGAUAUGAUUCUAAUAAUACAUCCAUCAAAUAUUUAUUAUAAAUUAAACGAAUACAAGAACCUGUGUUUUUCUUAUU